rnacentral:rRNA from 1 species
UACGGAGGGUGCAAGCGUUGUCCGGAUUUAUUGGGUUUAAAGGGUGCGUAGGCGGCCCGUUAAGUCAGUGGUGAAAGCCUCCAGCUCAACUGGAGAACUGCCAUUGAUACUGGCGGGCUUGAGUACAGACGAGGUUGGCGGAAUUGAUUGUGUAGCGGUGAAAUGCAUAGAUACAAGCAAGAACUCCGAUUGCGUAGGCAGCUAACUAGGCUGUAACUGACGCUGAGGCACGAAAGCGUGGGGAGCGAACAGG